rnacentral:rRNA from 1 species
UUAAGUGACUAAGCGUACACGGUGGAUGCCUAGGCAGUCAGAGGCGAUGAAGGGCGUGCUAAUCUGCGAAAAGUGUCGGUAAGGUGAUAUGAACCGUUAUAACCGGCAAUACCCGAAUGGGGAAACCCAGUGUGUUUCGACACACUAUCGUAUGGUGAAUACAUAGCCAUACGAGGCGAACCGGGGGAACUGAAACAUCUAAGUACCCCGAGGAAAAGAAAUCAACCGAGAUUCCCCUAGUAGCGGCGAGCGAACGGGGAACAGCCCAGAACCUGAAUCAGUUCUUGUGUUAGUGGAAGCGUCUGGAAAGUCGCGCAGCAAAGGGUGAUAGCCCCGUACACUAAAAUGCAUUAACUGUGAGUUCGAUGAGUAGGGCGGGACACGUGACAUCCUGUCUGAAUAUGGGGGGACCAUCCUCCAAGGCUAAAUACUCCUGACUGACCGAUAGUGAACCAGUACCGUGAGGGAAAGGCGAAAAGAACCCCGGCGAGGGGAGUGAAAUAGAACCUGAAACCGUGUACGUACAAGCAGUGGGAGCACCUUCGUGGUGUGACUGCGUACCUUUUGUAUAAUGGGUCAGCGACUUAUAUUUUGUAGCAAGGUUAACCGUAUAGGGGAGCCGUAGGGAAACCGAGUCUUAACUGGGCGAAUAGUUGCAAGGUAUAGACCCGAAACCCGGUGAUCUAGCCAUGGGCAGGUUGAAGGUUGGGUAACACUAACUGGAGGACCGAACCGACUAAUGUUGAAAAAUUAGCGGAUGACUUGUGGCUGGGGGUGAAAGGCCAAUCAAACCGGGAGAUAGCUGGUUCUCCCCGAAAGCUAUUUAGGUAGCGCCUCGUGAACUCAUCUUCGGGGGUAGAGCACUGUUUCGGCUAGGGGGCCAUCCCGGCUUACCAAACCGAUGCAAACUCCGAAUACCGAAGAAUGUUAUCACGGGAGACACACGGCGGGUGCUAACGUCCGUCGUGAAGAGGGAAACAACCCAGACCGCCAGCUAAGGUCCCAAAGUCAUGGUUAAGUGGGAAACGAUGUGGGAAGGCAUAGACAGCCAGGAUGUUGGCUUAGAAGCAGCCAUCAUUUAAAGAAAGCGUAAUAGCUCACUGGUCGAGUCGGCCUGCGCGGAAGAUGUAACGGGGCUAAACCAUGCACCGAAGCUGCGGCAGCGACGCUUAGGCGUUGUUGGGUAGGGGAGCGUUCUGUAAGCCGUUGAAGGUGAACUGUGAGGUUUGCUGGAGGUAUCAGAAGUGCGAAUGCUGACAUAAGUAACGAUAAAGCGGGUGAAAAACCCGCUCGCCGGAAGACCAAGGGUUCCUGUCCAACGUUAAUCGGGGCAGGGUGAGUCGACCCCUAAGGCGAGGCCGAAAGGCGUAGUCGAUGGGAAACAGGUUAAUAUUCCUGUACUCGGUGUUACUGCGAAGGGGGGACGGAGAAGGCUAGGCUAGCCGGGCGACGGUUGUCCCGGUUUAAGCGUGUAGGGGGAGUGACUUGGUAAAUCCGGUUGCUUAUCAACCCUGAGGCGUGAUGACGAUGCACUACGGUGCAGAAGUAGUUGAUGCCCUGCUUCCAGGAAAAGCCUCUAAGCAUCAGGUAACAUCAAAUCGUACCCCAAACCGACACAGGUGGUCAGGUAGAGAAUACCAAGGCGCUUGAGAGAACUCGGGUGAAGGAACUAGGCAAAAUGGUGCCGUAACUUCGGGAGAAGGCACGCUGGCGCGUAGGUGAAGAGACUUGCUCUCGGAGCUGAAGCCAGUCGCAGAUACCAGCUGGCUGCAACUGUUUAAUAAAAACACAGCACUGUGCAAACACGAAAGUGGACGUAUACGGUGUGACGCCUGCCCGGUGCUGGAAGGUUAAUUGAUGGGGUCAGCCGCAAGGCGAAGCUCUUGAUCGAAGCCCCAGUAAACGGCGGCCGUAACUAUAACGGUCCUAAGGUAGCGAAAUUCCUUGUCGGGUAAGUUCCGACCUGCACGAAUGGCGUAAUGAUGGCCAGGCUGUCUCCACCCGAGACUCAGUGAAAUUGAACUCGCUGUGAAGAUGCAGUGUACCCGCGGCAAGACGGAAAGACCCCGUGAACCUUUACUAUAGCUUGACACUGAACAUUGAGCCUUGAUGUGUAGGAUAGGUGGGAGGCUUUGAAGUGUGGACGCCAGUCUGCAUGGAGCCAACCUUGAAAUACCACCCUUUAAUGUUUGAUGUUCUAACUCGGCCCCGUAAUCCGGGGUGAGGACAGUGUCUGGUGGGUAGUUUGACUGGGGCGGUCUCCUCCCAAAGAGUAACGGAGGAGCACGAAGGUUAGCUAAUCACGGUCGGACAUCGUGAGGUUAGUGCAAAGGCAUAAGCUAGCUUGACUGCGAGAGUGACGGCUCGAGCAGGUACGAAAGUAGGUCUUAGUGAUCCGGUGGUUCUGAAUGGAAGGGCCAUCGCUCAACGGAUAAAAGGUACUCCGGGGAUAACAGGCUGAUACCGCCCAAGAGUUCAUAUCGACGGCGGUGUUUGGCACCUCGAUGUCGGCUCAUCACAUCCUGGGGCUGAAGUAGGUCCCAAGGGUAUGGCUGUUCGCCAUUUAAAGUGGUACGCGAGCUGGGUUUAGAACGUCGUGAGACAGUUCGGUCCCUAUCUGCCGUGGGCGUUGGAAGAUUGAGAGGGGUUGCUCCUAGUACGAGAGGACCGGAGUGAACGCACCACUGGUGUUCGGGUUGUCAUGCCAAUGGCACUGCCCGGUAGCUAAGUGCGGAAAAGAUAAGCGCUGAAAGCAUCUAAGCGCGAAACUUGCCUCGAGAUGAGUCUUCCCUGGGCCUUUAAGGUCCCUGAAGGAACGUUUAAGACUAAGACGUUGAUAGGCUGGGUGUGUAAGUGCAGCGAUGCAUUGAGCUAACCAGUACUAAUGAUCCGUGAGGCUUAACCUU